UCCACCGAAAGAAAAGGACGUGGCGAACGGGUGAGUAACGACGUGGGUAACCCUGCCCAUCGAGAAGGGGAUAACACUUGGAAACAGGUGCUAAUACCGGUAUAACAAGUCGAAACCGCAUGGUUUCGGUUUGAAAGGCGCUUUUGCGUCACUGAUGGAUGGACCCGCGGUGCAUUAGCUAGUUGGUGAGGUAACGGCUCACCAAGGCAACGAUGCAUAGCCGACCUGAGAGGGUGAUCGGCCACAUUGGGACUGAGACACGGCCCAGACUCCUACGGGAGGCAGCAGUAGGGAAUCUUCCGCAAUGGACGAAAGUCUGACGGAGCAACGCCGCGUGAGUGAAGAAGGUUUUUUCCGGAUCGUAAAACUCUGUUGUCAGAGAAGAACAAGUUGGAGAGUAACUGCUCCAGCCUUGACGGUAUCUGACCAGAAAGCCACGGCUAACUACGUGCCAGCAGCAGC
rnacentral:rRNA from 1 species